CCGGCAGCCAUGGGUUGGCCGUCCCACUCGAGUUGGAAGUGGGAUCCUGACACUUGAGCGCUGUCGGUGGUGCCAGAUCUAACUCUUCCAGCUCAGGUGAGGUACCGGUAUUUUCUGUCGACAGC
rnacentral:precursor_RNA from 14 species